ensembl:lncRNA
CAUAGGAACCAUGUUGAACUCGUCCUGCAACGUCUCUUAGACAACGGGUUAUAUGUGAAGGCGGAGAAGAGUGAAUUUCAUGCCGAUACUGUCGCCUUCCUGGGCUUUAUCGUAGCCCCUGGGAGGGUUCAGAUGGAUCCGGCUAAAGUAAGCGCGGUAGUAGAGUGGCCAACUCCUGAUAGCCGCAAGAAGGUGGCGUUUCACUGGUCCGCCGAGGCAGACGCGGCCUUCCAGGAGCUUAAGCGGCGCUUCACUACAGCACCCAUCCUCACGCUCCCUGAUCCGGCUCGCCAGUUUGUGGUGGAGGUGGACGCCUCCAAUAAUGGGAUCGGGGCCAUUCUCUCCCAGCGAGCAGAGUCUGACAACAAGCUUCAUCCGUGUGCCUUCCUGUCGCGACGACUAACUGCAGCGGAGCGGAACUACGACGUGGGAGAUCGUGAGCUGCUGGCAGUGAAGGCGGCGCUGGAGGAGUGGCGGCACUGGCUCGAGGGGGCACAGCACCCUUUUUUGACCGGGAUCAAGAAAUACCAAGCCUGACGCCUUAUCCCGUCUUUUCAGCCCGGA